UAUUAAAUAUAAUUAAGUAUAAUACCACCUCUCCCUGCCUUAUAUUUCUCCUGGAAAUGGCAUAUAGAGGACUGCACAUUGCAUUUCCCAUAAGCUCUUACUGCUAUGUCCCCAGUUCUUUACACGUGGAUGUACGUGUUGUGGUCCUCUCCAAAGGACCUCUUUCAGCGACUGCUUAUCUUUGUCACGGACGAAAUAGAUCCUGAUCUUUGUUAGUGAAAAACCUUUGCAGCCAGGUUGCCAGUUUCCGGCCUGCUUUGUCCACAAGGCUGGUGUGAUCCUCGGAUGUGGAGAAGCAGGAAUGUGCUGAAAAUGGAAGUUCACUAUGGUGAAAUGCUGGCCAUGAACUUGCAGAAUUUCUGCCAAGCCUCAUGUCCAGGGAAGCUGUACCUUGGCAGUGGCAAUUUUUGUUUUGUUAUUUUUUCUGAUGGUCAGCUCUGGGCUACUUGUCACCCAGGUUCCACUCUAGUGGAAAAAAAAUCUUUUAAAACAAUAAAUAAUAGUUAUGGAUCCACUGCUGUGCAUAUCCCAGCCUUUCUCUUUACACAGUUUUAAAUAUCUGUAUUUAUGCUUUUUAAAAACAUGUUGGCUUCAAAACUUGCAAGUAUUUCAUCUUUCAGGUAUCAGAGUUUUCUGCCUAACUGUGUGGGAGAUAACUGAGAAGGGUUUCAGUUUCCCAGAGAUUUUUUACUGUUAGAUCUAUGCUACCUAUAAAUCUGCAAACAUUUCCUCUAACCAAACCCCCUAUUUCUGUUCUAACUGGAAUGUAUUUUUUUUCUGAGCCAUGACCCUGCUACUAACUUGAUGAUCCAGGAUAUCUCAGAAAUACUUUUCAUGUCAUAUGGUUUAGAAAUUUCCCAUGGCUUCAAAGCAUAAAUUCACAGAUUGUCCCAGUGACAAAGAGGAGAAAAGCAUUAUACCAGUCUGUAUUAACAGAGAUGCAAUAUGACUAUUAUCCAGAAUGCAGAUAUUCCACUCAAGAAGUUUUAUGUAUUUUGGAUAAACACAGUUAUGGAUGUUAUCAGGCUUCUAGGGCAGUGCAUCCUGUGCAUAUACCU